rnacentral:rRNA from 1 species
UACGUAGGUGGCAAGCGUUGUCCGGAUUUACUGGGCGUAAAGAGCGCGCAGGCGGUCGUUCAAGUCGCGUGUGAAAGCCCCCGGCUCAACUGGGGAGGGUCACGCGAUACUGAUCGACUCGAAGGCAGGAGAGGGAAGUGGAAUUCCCGGUGUAGUGGUGAAAUGCGUAGAUAUCGGGAGGAACACCAGAGGCGAAGGCGGCGACCUGGACAGGUACUGACACUCAACUACGAAAGCGUGGGGGAGCAAACAGG